rnacentral:rRNA from 1 species
GUUGACCUCGAAUCAGGUAGGACUACCCGCUGAACUUA